AACGAACGCUGGCGGCAGGCCUAACACAUGCAAGUCGAGCGAGGACUUCGGUCCUAGCGGCGGACUGGUGAGUAACGCGUGGGAACGUGCCCUUUGCUUCGGAAUAGCCCUGGGAAACUGGGAGUAAUACCGGAUGAGCCCUUUGGGGGAAAGAUUUAUCGGCGAAGGAUCGGCCCGCGUUGGAUUAGGUAGUUGGUGGGGUAAUGGCCUACCAAGCCGACGAUCCAUAGCUGGUUUGAGAGGAUGAUCAGCCACACUGGGACUGAGACACGGCCCAGACUCCUACGGGAGGCAGCAGUGGGGAAUCUUAGACAAUGGGGGAAACCCUGAUCUAGCCAUGCCGCGUGAGCGAUGAAGGCCUUAGGGUUGUAAAGCUCUUUCAGCUGGGAAGAUAAUGACGGUACCAGCAGAAGAAGCCCCGGCUAACUCCGUG
rnacentral:rRNA from 1 species